UACCAGCACCCCGAGUGGUCGGGACGUUUAUUGGGCCUAAAGCAUCCGUAGCCGGUUCGACAAGUCUUCCGUUAAAUCCAACUGCUUAACAGGUGGGCUGCGGAAGAUACUAUAGAGCUAGGAGGCGGGAGAGGCAAGCGGUACUCGAUGGGUAGGGGUAAAAUCCGUUGAUCCAUUGAAGACCACCAGUGGCGAAGGCGGCUUGCCAGAACGCGCUCGACGGUGAGGGAUGAAAGCUGGGGGAGCAAACCGG
rnacentral:rRNA from 1 species